rnacentral:rRNA from 1 species
AUACGGAGGAUCCGGGCGUUAUCCGGAUUUAUUGGGUUUAAAGGGAGCGUAGGUGGACAGUUAAGUCAGUUGUGAAAGUUUGCGGCUCAACCGUAAAAUUGCAGUUGAUACUGGUUGUCUUGAGUACAGUAGAGGUGGGCGGAAUUCGUGGUGUAGCGGUGAAAUGCUUAGAUAUCACGAAGAACUCCGGUUGCGAAGGCAGCUCACUGGACUGCAACUGACACUGAUGCUCGAAAGUGUGGGUAUCAAACAGGAUUAGAUACCCUGGUAGUCCACACAGUAAACGAUGAAUACUCGCUGUUUGCGAUAUACAGUAAGCGGCCAAGCGAAAGCAUUAAGUAUUCCACCUGGGGAGUACGCCGGCAACGGUGAAACUCAAAUGAAUUGACGGGG